CCCCCCCUCCCCGCUGCGGUACCCCCUCGCCUUCGCCCGCACUCUCCCUCCUCCCUUCCUUUUGUUUCCCGUUCAUCCUUUCCCCUUCCCUUCUUUGUCUUCCUCCUUUUCCCUCCCCUCGGUUUUCCUCUGUUCGGCUCCUCACUUCCCCUUCCUCCUCCUCUCCCCCCUCCUCUGCGGCCCUCCGUGGCCCUGGCCUUGCUCUGCACAGUCCCCCCGGCUCACAGUCGGUCCGGAGACUCCUGCCUGCCUGUCCCCGCCCCGAGUCGGUCGGCAUGCCCAGAUGGGGACAGGACCCUCCCGGAAGAGGAAUAGAGUGGAAAAGAGCAGAUAUGGAACUGAGAGGGGGGUUUUCUUCAGCAGAGUGUUGAGCACUAAUGAAGUGGGAGCCCAGACCCAGCAGUGGCCUGCAGCUUUUGGGGAGCGGGGAGGAGGAGUCCUCCUCACUUCCGUCCUCCAGGACCAAGUCCUGCUAAAAAAUAAAUAAAUAAAAAAAUUAAAAUAA